AGUAUAAAGUUUGGUUUUUCAACGCCAAAUCGUUUAAUAUCAGUCGUCUGUUGUUCAGAGGCAAGAGAACACAUAUUUUUGAAAUUUAUUUUGUUUUUGUUCUGAGUUCCUGUUAAACAAUUCGACACUAUGCAGACACUUACUACCAAAUACUUUUGUUUACAUUUUAAAUUGUAUAAAAUUGGUUUAAUGAUUGGGGCAGUUUAUAUAAUAUUGAAUUUGCUUAUGAUUUGGUCAAUAGUUGAGAGUGGUGAAGAAGAAUAUGCUGUGAUACUAUUUUGUUUAUUGACAAUAUUUACUUCAAUUAUUUUAAUGUAUGGUUUAAUACAGAACCGUCAUACACUUCUCUUACCCUGGCUCUCGAAUGUUGCUGUUUUAAUAAUGUUCAAUAUAUUCGCUGUAAUCGGUCAAUUUGAGGAAGCAAAUCGAGAAGUAACCCGUAUAUCUUUCUAUCUGGCAUUUGGCUUUUUUAUGGCUUUGGAAUUACAGGUGCUAUUUUGGUAUAUUAUCUUUACUCUCUUAAAAGUGGGACAUCGUAAGACAUUCCGUGUUGUGCAGAUUAUUCAAGAAAAGCCACAAAUUAAGAAAAUCGAAGAUAAGGACACGUUUCAAAUCUAUUUGGUGGGCAGUGAGGAAGUCAAUGAAAAGCAAGCUGUAUGAAUUUAAACGAACAAUUGCUCCAGUAUCAUCUUUAAGUGUCGCCGUUUCAUUUAGUUUAACAUUUAUUAUGACCUCACCUUUUCUAAUAUGGGGCGCCCUUAAAGAAAAACAUUUAUGUCUAGUGCCUUGGCUAUAUAAUAGUUUUUUCUGUAUUAUUGUCACCGCAAUCUAUUUAUUUGUGGUAUUAUUGAAAAAUUUUUACUAUCUCGAUGCACCCAAUGAAGAAGUGAAAAGCUUUCUUGUCUUAACAAUAUUAAUGAUAUUUGGUUUAACUAUACAAAUUAUAUUUUAUAGAAUUGUUUACAAACUUUACAAAGAAUUAGUAAUCGAUCAACGUCUUAAGUACUUGGAAAACUCCAGUACAAUAUUUAUAGUUUACGACGAAGCCAACACAGAUCAGCGGUAGUUGGUGUGAUCAGUUGGUGCUGUCAUAUAGAUGUGUAUCAAUUAAAAGCUUUAACUUAAAUUUAAAUAUUUUUAAUUAAAACUUAUUACUAAGUAAUUUAUUAAGUAUGUGUUUAAAAUACAAUAUAUCUGUAUUACAAAGAAAUUCUAUAAAAUUUUAUUUCAUA